rnacentral:rRNA from 1 species
AUUGAACGCUGGCGGCAUGCCUUACACAUGCAAGUCGAACGGUAACAGGUCUUCGGAUGCUGACGAGUGGCGAACGGGUGAGUAAUACAUCGGAACGUGCCUAGUAGUGGGGGAUAACUACUCGAAAGAGUGGCUAAUACAGCAUGAGAAUCACUGAUGAAAGCAGGGGAGUGCAAGACCUUGUGCUACUCGAGCGGCGGGUGGCAGAUGAGGUAGUUGGUGGGAUAAAAGCUUACCAAGCCGACGAUCUGUAGCUGGUCUGAGAGGACGAUCAGCCACACUGGGACUGAGACACGGCCCAGACUCCUACGGGAGGCAGCAGUGGGGAAUUUUGGACAAUGGGCGAAAGCCUGAUCCAGCAAUGCCGCGUGCAGGAUGAAGGCCUUCGGGUUGUAAACUGCUUUUGUACGGAACGAAAAGCCCCGGGUUAAUACCCUGGGGUCAUGACGGUACCGUAAGAAUAAGCACCGGCUAACUACGUGCCAGCAGCCGCGGUAA